GAUGUCUCCGAAGAGUCACGUGGACUGGAAGGAGGGGCUUAGCGAAAGACCCCUUUGGACCGGCAGGGCAGGUGCUCGGCGCGAUAGUCGUGCAGGCAAGCCAAUGAAUACGCGUGGCGGGAGGGUUGAUGAGUGUCUGAGAGAUGGCCACAGCCAGGGAGCCAGCGAGGAGCCGUUCCUGAAAGGGUGGGGACCCAUGUACUCCACAGAAGUAAUUCUUACACUGGGAUGGGAGAGAGGCACGUGAGAGCGAGCCAGCCACCUCCUACUGAAGCCAUCCAGGGAGCCGCCUGGAGCCUGGAGGGUGGAAUGCUGUCUUGGACAGAGAACUUGAUGGCGUACUCAGGGGCGAUCUUGAGGACGUUGAUGCCAUUGCCACGCCACAGGGACCGGACACCGCCCUCCUGGACCAUGCUCCGCAGCCCCCCCAGCAGGUUCAUGAAGUUAGUCUUGGAGGAGUAGACCUGGGGAGGGAGGACCCAGGAGGACCCUGUGGGGAACUCUGCAGAGCUCUAUUGGGGGGCCACCCCUCCCUCUUCAUGCCCAAGUACCCCUGGCUUCUCCGGUUCUGUCCCUAGCUAGUCCUACCCCCACCCAGACCCCAGGGCUGACCCACCUUCCUGUCUCUUCCCUCAUCUCCAUCUUUUCUCCACUCUUAUUCACUUUUCAAACCCAUCUGAAGAACCUGUCCCCAGCUCCCUGAUCUCUGAGCUGACCCUGGCUCAGGGUUGACCCUGUGCCAUCUGACUCCCCUCCCUGGUCCCCAACAUAUCUCUGUGUCCCAUCCACACCAGCUGUGUCACUUCCCAGACCAGGCCCAGCAGUACCCCGUGAGAGCCCUGUUCCAGCCCUACUCCUAGCCCUACCUCCUGCAGUACCAUUGCACCCCCACCACGUCCUGUGCCCAGUGGCUCACCUACCUGCAUGUAUACCUUGGCGCGGUCCAGAGGGGCUGUGCCUGUGCGAGACACUGCCCCAGCCAUGGCCCCCAACAGCAGGAACUUCCACAAGGCCCCCUCGCCGCCCACUUCCAGCACCUCCACGGGGACCAUCAGCUGCUCCCCCGUGUCCAGCACCUGCUGGGCAGACCCAACCCUUGCCCAUGCGCAGCGAUGCUGGAGCUCCUUCCCUGGGCACGUCUCUGGGAAAUCCUCCUGGGUUGGAGACACAGGACCCCUGUGGUUUCCAAACUCACCGGCUGUGACGGGAGAUGUUCCAGCCCUAACUUCCUGUGGGAUGGAAGCUGGAGGUAGGGCCUUUGGUAGUAAUGACAUCAGAUGGGAUCAUGGGGGGGUGGCCUCUAAGGUGGGUUAAUGCCCUUAUAGGAAAACAAGGCGAGACUAGAGCUUUGUCCCUCUCUUCACCAUGAGGACAUAGCACAAAGGCAGCCCUCUGCAAGCCAGGAAGAGAGAGCCCUCACCAGGAACUGAACCAGCCUGAUCUUGGACUCCAGCCUCCAGAACCGUGAGGAAUAAAUGCCUGUUGGUUAA